rnacentral:rRNA from 1 species
UACGUAGGGGGCAAGCGUUGUCCGGAAUCAUUGGGCGUAAAGCGCGCGUAGGCGGCCCGAUCAGUCCGCUGUAAAAGUCCAGGGCUCAACCCUGGAAAGCCGGUGGAUACUGUCGGGCUAGAGUCCGGAAGAGGCGAGUGGAAUUCCUGGUGUAGCGGUGGAAUGCGCAGAUAUCAGGAGGAACACCGAUAGCGAAGGCAGCUCGCUGGGACGGUGACUGACGCUGAGGCGCGAAAGACGUGGGGAGCAAACAGG